rnacentral:lncRNA from 1 species
UUUCAGUGGCGUAGCCAGGGUUGAAAUGAUGUGGAUGUUUCACCGAGCGGAGCGAGGCGAAAAAUAUUUUGGAUCUUUUUAUGCAGAAAAUUAUUUUUUAUUUAAGCACAUGUACUCCCCCAGAAUCCGACACUAGUUAGAUUUUUGUUUAAAUUCAAAAUACCCACGGGCACCAGUUCAUAUAUUUUUAUUGUUAACCAAAUUUUAUUGUUUCCUCGAAACUACCAUCAUUCAAUUCAUAAACAUUAAAGUUUUCCACCCAAUCUCAUAUUUGACAUAUCAAAAACGGACCCCAUUACAGCGGCACUUCUGUAUAAUUUAGGAACUUCGGAAUAUAGGAACUGAAGUGCUUUCUCUUUUCAGGAAUUUGAGUCUACAACCUUGGGUUUUUGAUUUUUGAUUACUGAGCUAAACGCGUUGCAGGAGACAUAAAAA